UACGUAGGGUGCAAGCGUUGUCCGGAAUUAUUGGGCGUAAAGAGCUCGUAGGCGGCUUGUCGCGUCGGCUGUGAAAACCCGCGGCUCAACUGUGGGCGGGCAGCUGAUACGGGCAGGCUGGAGUUCGGUAGGGGAGACUGGAAUUCCUGGUGUAGCGGUGGAAUGCGCAGAUAUCAGGAGGAACACCGGUGGCGAAGGCGGGUCUCUGGGCAGUAACUGACGCUGAGGAGCGAAAGCGUGGGGAGCGAACAGG
rnacentral:rRNA from 1 species